GAGAAAUUUAUUGGCCGCAGGCGAUCGCAUCGUGGUGAUAAAUGGGCAGAAUUUAUUGCAUUUGCGGAAUGAAGACGCUCUGAAGAUGCUGCAGAGCUUGUCCGAUACGAUCGAGCUGGUCCUCUCUUAAGCUACUUCCCGUAAAAACACGAUUUCCAGGAAGAAUCACGAACAACCUGCGGAAAAUAACUAUUUGAAUGACAUCAGAUUCGACGUGUCCUCGGAAGCAGAUACGUCGAGCAUGACAAACAAAAGGCUCGUUCAAAGGACUACCGACGUUGUAUCUGUGCAAAACACCUCCAGCGCGUACAGCAGUGCCGCAUCGAGCGCAAUGGGUAAUCACAAUGCAAACAGCCUAUACAUGACCGAUCUUGUUGAUAAUGAUGCACUUAAGUCCGCAAGUAUGCUGCUCAGUAUAGAGGACUUCGACGUCAGCAGGGCGAGUCGCCAAGUUUUUAUUUAAUCGUCGAUAAAGCAAG